rnacentral:rRNA from 1 species
CACGUAGGGGGCAAGCGUUGUCCGGAAUUACUGGGCGUAAAGGGCGUGUAGGCGGAUAAUUAAGUCAGAUGUGAAACCUCUGGGCUCAACCCAGAGCAUGCAUCUGAUACUGGUGAUCUUGAGUGUAGAAGAGGAGAGUGGAAUUCCUAGUGUAGCGGUGAAAUGCGUAGAUAUUAGGAGGAACACCAGUGGCGAAGGCGACUCUCUGGUCUACAACUGACGCUGAGGCGCGAAAGCGUGGGUAGCAAACAGG